rnacentral:rRNA from 1 species
CGGCGGCUAUAAUGCAGUCGACGAUAGAUGGUAGCUUGCUACCAUCAAAAGUGGCGCACGGGUGCGUAACGCGUAUGCAACCUACCUUAAUCAGGGGGAUAGCCCGAAGAAAUUCGGAUUAACACCGCAUAAAAUCACAGCACAGCAUUGUGCAAUGAUCAAAUAUUUAUAGGAUUAAGAUGGGCAUGCGUGACAUUAGUUAGUUGGCGGGGUAACGGCCCACCAAGACCACGAUGUCUAGGGGAUCUGAGAGGAUGACCCCCCACACUGGUACUGAGACACGGACCAGACUCCUACGGGAGGCAGCAGUAAGGAAUAUUGGUCAAUGGAGGCAACUCUGAACCAGCCAUGCCGCGUGCAGGAAGACCGCCCUCUGGGUCGUAAACUGCUUUUAUUCGGGAAUAAACCUACUUACGUGUAAGUAGCUGAAUGUACCGAAGGAAUAAGGAUCGGCUAACUCCGUGCCAGCAGCCGCGGUAAUACGGAGGAUCCAAGCGUUAUCCGGAUUUAUUGGGUUUAAAGGGUGCGUAGGCGGCUUUUUAAGUCAGGGGUGAAAGACGGUGGCUCAACCAUCGCAGUGCCCUUGAUACUGAAGAGCUUGAAUGAAUUAGAGGUAGGCGGAAUGUGACAAGUAGCGGUGAAAUGCAUAGAUAUGUCACAGAACACCGAUUGCGAAGGCAGCUUACUAUGAUUUUAUUGACGCUGAGGCACGAAAGCGUGGGGAUCAAACAGGAUUAGAUACCCUGGUAGUCCACGCCCUAAACGAUGAAUACUCGCUGUUAGCGAUACACAGUUAGCGGCUAAGCGAAAGCGUUAAGUAUUCCACCUGGGGAGUACGGUCGCAAGAUUGAAACUCAAAGGAAUUGACGGGGGCCCGCACAAGCGGAGGAGCAUGUGGUUUAAUUCGAUGAUACGCGAGGAACCUUACCCGGGCUUGAAAGUUAGUGAAUCAUUUAGAGAUAGAUGAGUCCGCAAGGACACGAAACUAGGUGCUGCAUGGCUGUCGUCAGCUCGUGCCGUGAGGUGUUGGGUUAAGUCCCGCAACGAGCGCAACCCCUAUGUUUAGUUGCCAGCACGUUAAGGUGGGGACUCUAAACAGACUGCCUGUGCAAACAGAGAGGAAGGAGGGGACGACGUCAAGUCAUCAUGGCCCUUACGUCCGGGGCUACCUACACACGUGCUACAAUGGAUGGUACAGAGGGCAGCAAGCUGGUAACAGCAAGCAAAUCUCCAAAAGCCAUUCACAGUUCGGAUAGAGGUCUGCAACUCGACCUCUUGAAGUUGGAUUCGCUAGUAAUCGUAUAUCAGCAAUGAUACGGUGAAUACGUUCCCGGGCCUUGUACACACCGCCCGUCAAGCCAUGGAAGUUGGGGGUACCUAAAGUAUGUAACCGCAAGGAGCGUCCUAGGUAAGCC